ACGAAUGCAUCGUUCUCUCUCCCCGUUGGCUUCAGCAAGGUAACAUCGCUGCUUCCAAAAUUAGUUUCGUUUAUGUUGAAUUGAUCUUGUGAAAUUCUGUUUCGGCCUGUGCAGUGUCUGAAGGGGGAAGAGUGCCCUCACGACGUGAUCAAGGUUGCAUCAAGUCGUGAGGUUAAUUUUGUGUUUGUAAUUCUGGAAACGCCAGUAAGUGACUUGCUGUUGUAGAUGGUUUCCUUUUCAUCACGACGCCAUGUGGCGUAAGUUAAUUAAUUUGGUUGGAGUUGAGUUGGCUUAAACAGCCGAUCGCCCCGCAGGCGUGCAAGUAACCUGUGUAUAUUUCCUUGUGCCCUUAAGGCUUGCCGAAGUACAGGCUUGUGUGCCCUUAAGGCUUGCCGAAGUACAGGGUUUUUUUUCUGGAGAAGUCGAAAGAUGCCAUGAGGCGUGCCCAUACCUGAGUCUGUGCGGCUAGGCACAGUGUAGUUCAGCAUCAGCUGUUGAUUAUGUUCUGACCAGUCCCUGCCCAUCAGGCAGAGUACACCUGUAUACUUAUGUUAUCAAUAUAUACAUUUAUUUAUAUGUUUGGAAACGCCAGUUGUAUUUGUGUAUACUUGGGUUGUGUAUUCCCUACCAGUUCGGACUAGCAGAUCCGUCCAGCUUGGCCCAUAGUGCUGACAGCGGUUUUCCUCUCCCGAGAUCCCCUACUCGACCUUGGGGAGGCAUAGUACAUCACGUACAAGCAAGUCGUUCUUAUGAGCCUGUCCCUUACCCAUAUUGAGCAGGAGAUCACGGGUCUAAGUGGGUAGGAGAACUGGGUUCUUGACCCACAGGGUCAAGGGACACGGCUCAAAGUGGUAGCAGAGUGUGGUUAACGAAGUUAACGUGGUUAACGGUAGUUAACGUUUCUUUUGUGUUCCGGGGUUUCGACCAGACAUUGGGUUCUUUCAUCAGGACUUGCUUGUGGAGUGUAGAGUUGACCGUGGACUCGUAUAUAUAUUUUUUUGGUGUUGUUCUAUGCUGUUGCGAUGCCGCUCGCCUGGAUCCACAAUCUUCCGAGAGAGGAGGCCGAGAAAUUUGCGUCGGAGUUGGGCGUGUCCGUUCAAGGUACCUUGGACGAAUUGCGGAAGCGGCUGAAGGAAAAGUCGAGAGCGCUGGAAGUCUGCCUACCUCCUCAGAUCACAGAUAAGUUUGCCGCGAGUACGGACGUUGCGGGACCUAAUGUGAGAAAGAUUCGAGCGGGCGACGUCCAUGCCCAAAGUAGUUACGCCCAGAGUAGAUUACGGGGUAAUGUAGUUUCUGAGUCGGCAUUAGUUUGUCAUAUUGUUCAGAAUAUUUACCCUAGUGUGUGUCCUUGGUGGACGUUUGAGUCUGGGCCAAGAAGAGUAGUUAGUGGGUGUGUCGUCGGUGGACGUUUUGAGUCUGGGCCUUGAAGAGUAGUUAAGGUGUGUCCUUGGUGGACGUUUUGAGUCUGGGCCGAGAAGAGUGGAGAGUAGUUAGGGUGUGUCCUUGGUGGACGUUUUGAGUCUGGGCCGAGAAGAGUAGUUAGGGUGUGUCCUUGGUGGACGUUUUGAGUCUGGACCGAGAAGAGUAGUUAGGGUGUGUCCUUGGUGGACGUUUUGAGUCUGGGCCGAGAAGAGUAGUUAGGGUGUGUCCUUGGUGGACGUUUUGAGUCUGGGCCGAGAAGAGUAGUUAGGGUGUGUCCUUGGUGGACGUUUUAGGUCUGGACCGAGAAGAGUAGUUAGUGUGUGUGUCCUUGGUGGACGUUUUGAGUCUGGGCCGAGAAGAGUAGUUAGGGUGUGUCCUUGGUGGACGUUUGAGUCUGGACCGAGAAGAUUUUUUGGGAACUAGCCUUGGGGAAUUUUGAAGGCUAGAGAUAGGGUCGCGAAUCGCUAUAUGAAUCGAGGAGAGAGGUAGAGGUUACGGUUGGGGUCAAGUGUUUGUGAAGCUCCACCCUCAAGGUUCCAGUGCUCGAUACCGUUCCACGAAGCUGGAGAUUAAGAGGUCUGAACCCUUUGUAAUAGUUAAGUCCGACUAAGUUAUGGGUCGACUGGGAAAUUCUGAUAUGGGUGUACUGGUAAAAUGGAUUUGUGUCUCAACUGAAGAGCUACAGGCUUGGCGAGUAGGCCAUAAAAUGUAACCUGGGUAUUAUCGCAACCACAUAUUUGUGUAAAUAUGUUUGUGAGCUUCCCCCUGAGACGAUGCUGAGUCUGCCGUGAUUUUUGUUUGUGUUUCAGAGUCUGCUAUCCCUUUCUAUCCUAUCCCUUCGGCUCGCGAGUGUGAUAGACGUCAUGUGGGCCCCGCCAGUGACGAACUUGUGUCGUCAGUGAGUGUGUGUUGGUGUUAUGUCUCCGACGAGGAGUUGGACCUUCGGACUCCUGUGGGCCGGGAAUUCGCUGCUAGAAGUUGGGCCUCCUUUCCUGACUUGUCGGCGUGCGAAUGGCCAAGUGAUGUGACGGUGGUGCCGGAGAAAUGGACUGGGUGGCUCCACCAGCUCUCCGGAAGGGAGCACCUCCGCACAUGUGUGGCAGGAACAGAGCAAGGACUGUGUGUUCGGAAUGAAUCUUGCUGGCAGGCAGUUAGAGCCCCAGGAGUGAUAAGGCGGCGGAAAGGUGUCGUGAUAAUUGGAUGGCGAGUGGGCCCAGUGCAGUGCUGAGUGUUUUUUUUUUUUGGCGUCUGGGGAGAGGGUGACAUCCUGAACCGUGCAACGGUUCUUCUCCGUGAAGUUCCUUGGAGUCCCCCCCCCCCGAAACGCCAGGAUGCGUGCCGUUCCUCCUCCUUUCCACUUAAAAGUCUUAGCUGACGUCAGGUCAGCUGACCAUGUUCCCCCCCCUCCUGGACGAAUGCGAGGUUUCCUGCUUACUCAGAACGAAUGCAUCGUUCUCUCUCCCCGUUGGCUUCAGCAAGGUUCCAUCUCAAGACGAACUACAAACGAGGAAUGACGAAGACAGUUCUCUUAAUACUGACUCCUUAUGUGAAAGUGAAGGAAUUGCCACAAUAGACAGCCGAGCGAGGUUUGAAGAGCCAGAACAUACCAACAGUUCACCUAUGAAACAAGGAUCCAGCGUGG